UAGGGAAUCCUCCACAAUGGACGCAAGUCUGAUGGAGCAACGCCGCGUGAGUGAAGAAGGUUUUCGGAUCGUAAAGCUCUGUUGUUGGUGAAGAAGGAUAGAGGCAGUAACUGGUCUUUAUUUGACGGUAAUCAACCAGAAAGUCACGGCUAACUACGUGCCAG
rnacentral:rRNA from 1 species